ACAGAGGGAAAACUAAAAAAAAAAAAAAGGAAUCCUGAGAAAAUUGAGGAAAGUGAAGCAAAGCGAGACGGAGUCGUGGGAAAUAUCGACUCCGCCCGCGGUGGUCGUCGCGUCGCCGUCUCAUCACAUCUCCCCCCCCUCCUCUCUUCUUCCUCCCCUCCCACGGCGACUCGCCGCCGCCGCCGACGCCGACGCCGAUCCGGUCUCCGCUCCAACUCCGGCGAGAUUGGAUUUGGGGGCGGAGCCGAUCCGAUCGGGGUCCAUCGCACGGAGGAGGAGGAGGAGGGGGUGACUCGCCGUCGCGCGGCCAGAUCUGCGGCGGCUGCGCGGGGGGAGGCGCCAUGGAGGGCAACAAGGACGACGCGGUCAAGUGCCUCCGCAUCGGGAAGGCCGCGGCGGACGCCGGCGACAGCGCCCGCGCCGUCAAGUUCCUCUCCAAGGCCAAGCGCCUCGACCCCUCCCUCCCCAUCGACCACCUGCUCGAUCCUCUCCUCAACCAGGACGACCCGCCCUCGUCCUCCGCCUCGUCGUCGUCCCCACAGGCCCCGCCGCCGCCGCCACCUCGGUCGUCAGCAGCGGCAGCAUCCGCGGAGGAAGCAACCGGGAGCGAUGGUCUGAGAGAGAGGAAGCAGAAGGGUAAGAAGAAGGAGGAGGACGAGAGCGCCGGUGAGAGGUCAUACACGUCUGAGCAGCUGGAGGUUGUGCGCCAGGUCAAGAAGCACACCAGGGACUACUACCAGAUCCUCGGCCUCGAGAAGGACUGCACUGUGGAGGACGUGCGCAAGGCCUACCGCAAGCUCUCCCUCAAGGUGCAUCCCGACAAGAACAAGGCCCCCGGUGCCGAGGAUGCGUUCAAGGCCGUCUCCAAGGCCUUCCAGUGCCUCAGCGAUGCCGAGAGCCGCAAGCGCUAUGACCUUGUUGGCUCGGACGAGCCGGUGACUUACAACAGGAGGGCUGCCUCCACUGCCCGUGCGUAUAAUGGGUUUUAUGAGGAUGAAUUUGAUCCGGAUGAGAUAUUCAGAAACUUCUUCUUUGGCGGGAUGGCGCCUGCCACCACCAGACAGUUUGGGCAGUUUGGGACGUUUCAUUUCAGGACUGGCGGCAUGCACCAUGGCCAUGGGGCGCAAAAUUCCGGUGGCUCCACUCUCCGGAUGCUUAUUCAGCUGUUGCCUGUUCUAUUGCUGCUGUUGCUCAACUUCCUGCCAUCUUCUGAACCGGUCUACUCGCUGUCCCGCUCUUACCCUUAUGAGCACAAAUUCCAAACCACACGUGGAGUCACAUACUAUGUCAAGUUGCCUAACUUUGAGGAGCAGUAUCCACACCAGAGCACUGAGCGUGCAACACUCGAACGGCAUGUUGAGCGGGAUUACUUCUCAAUACUCUCACAGAAUUGUAGGGUUGAGGUGCAGCGUCGCCACUGGGGGCUUUCCUACGAGACGCCGCACUGCGACAUGCUCCGGAAAUUUGAGGCAACAGCACAGUAAUAUGUCCAGAGGAGCUAGAUUGGAAAAAAGUGGGGAGGUGGGGAAUACUUUAUAGUUUUCGCAUAGUUUUAUUAUAUGGCACACAAGAACUUUGGCCAUGGUGUAAAGGUUUCCAACGCUUGCUCCUUUGAUAGGCUUCAAAUUGGAGGGGACAAAUUAGUUUUGACUCGUGGUAAAUUUUGUGGAAUAAGUGCCUUCGAUGACUACACACUCUGCCUUGAUACUUUCCUGAUAGUGUUGAGGCGCCUCAAACGGUAGCUACUUAAAUGGAUAUGUAAUUCAUCAAGUUCCAUAGGGGAUUGAUCAAUAUGCAAUCAUGUGUAUGUAUACGAAGCAUAUCUAUGUCGUUUUUAUCUCAAGUUUUCGGAGAAUACCUGACUUAACAGACAUCAUAGUUGACAAUGAAAAAAAUGGGUCUGCAACUUUAUAUCUUGUUCAUCA